GAUGAAGAACGUAGCGAAAUGCGAUAAGUAAUGUGAAUUGCAGAAUUCAGUGAAUCAUCGAGUCUUUGAACGCACAUUGCGCCCCCAGGUAUUCCGGGGGGCAUGCCUGUCCGAGCGUCAUUGCUGCCCUCAAGCACGGCUUGUGUGUUGGGCCCCCGUCCCCGGUUUCCCCCGGGGACGGGCCCGAAAGGCAGCGGCGGCACCGCGUCCGGUCCUCGAGCGUAUGGGGCUUUGUCACCCGCUCUGUAGGCCCGGCCGGCGCCAGCCGACACCCAACUUUAUUUCUAAGGUUGACCUCGGAUCAGGUAGGGAUACCCGCUGAACUUAAGCAUAUCAAUAAGCGGAGGA
rnacentral:misc_RNA from 1 species